GAUGAACGCUGGCGGCGUGCUUAACACAUGCAAGUCGAACGAAGCAUUUAGAACGGAUUACUUCGGUUUGAAGUUCUUUAUGACUGAGUGGCGGACGGGUGAGUAACGCGUAGGAACGUGUCUAGAGGUGGGGGACAACCCUGGGAAACUGGGGCUAAUACCGCAUAUGGGCUGAGGCCCAAAGCAGUGAUGCGCCUUUGGAGCGGCCUGCGUCCGAUUAGGUAGUUGGUGGGGUAAAGGCCUACCAAGCCUGCGAUCGGUAGCUGGUCUGAGAGGACGAUCAGCCACACUGGGACUGAGACACGGCCCAGACUCCUACGGGAGGCAGCAGUGGGGAAUAUUGGACAAUGGGCGCAAGCCUGAUCCAGCAAUGCCGCGUGUGUGAAGAAGGUCUUCGGAUCGUAAAGCAACUUUCGACAGGGACGAUGAUGACGGUACCUGUAGAAGAAGCCCCGGCUAACUUCGUGCCAGCAGCCGCGGUAAUAGUACUCUA
rnacentral:rRNA from 1 species